rnacentral:sRNA from 1 species
ACCCGCCGCGGGCGCUGUGAGUGGUGCCCGCGGUAUUUGAGACACAUAACCAUGCCACGGGAACAUCGUGGCACUUCAGGGCGUU